rnacentral:rRNA from 4 species
GCCUUAGCGCGGUGGUCCCACCUGACCCCAUGCCGAACUCAGAAGUGAAACGCCGUAGCGCCGAUGGUAGUGUGGGGUCUCCCCAUGCGAGAGUAGGGAACUGCCAGGC